UACAGCCAUAUCAUUUUGAAACACCGGUUCUCGUACGACCACCGGAGUUAAGCAAUGUCGAACUAGGUCCCUAUCUAGAUGGCUGACUGCAUGGAAAUACCAGGUGCUGUAA